UACGUAGGGGGCAAGCGUUGUCCGGAAUCAUUGGGCGUAAAGCGCGUGUAGGCGGCUCGAUAAGUCCGCUCUGAAAGCCCGGGGCUCAACCCCGGGAGGCGGGCGGAAACUGUCGGGCUAGAGUCCGGAAGAGGCGAGUGGAAUUCCCGGUGUAGCGGUGAAAUGCGCAGAUAUCGGGAGGAACACCAAUGGCGAAGGCGAGUCUCUGGACAUUUCCUGACGCUGAGGCACGAAAGCCAGGGGAGCAAACGGG
rnacentral:rRNA from 1 species